ensembl:lncRNA
GGCACAACUGCAGACAAAGGGCCACUUAACACUUUUGCUAAUGAUUAUAACUUUUCACAAUAUCACUACCCUUUGGUUAUUCAGAAGACAGACAGCAAAGACAGUUUUAUGCCUUGUUGCAAAGUAGAUGACCAUGUGAUCAAAUAUAUUUUGUAUACUGGAAACAAUUUCUUCUCAGCAAGAGCAGUGAGGCAGUGGCGCAGGCCGCCCAGGGAAGUGGUGGAGUCACCAUCCCUGGAGGUGUUCAAGAGCCGUGUGGAUGUGGCACUGAGGGACGUGGGCAGUGGGCGUGGUGAGGGUGGGCUGACAGUUGGACUGGGUGAUCUCAGAGGUCUUUUCCAACCUUAACAAUUCUAUGAUUCUAUGGUUCCCCCUCAAGUUGGUGAUAACUUGCAUUUCAGAAUUCACUUGCAUGUGCAUGUACCAACUGGGGCCACUUACAGGAUGCUGAAAAUGGGUCAGCAAUGCAAGAUUCACUAUGAGAAUCCUCAGAUUUUGGUGCGAGGGGAAGAAGGUGUGGGUUCUACUGUAAGCAGUGGAGCUGACUCCAAUGUGAAGGGUCUGAGUGGUGCCAGGCUCCUUUGUAGCAGGCUCCCUGCAGCUUCCCCAGCCAUCCUUCAGUCCUGCAUAUAUGGGGAGGAGAAAAGACUCUGUCUGGUUGGUUUUUUUUUCACACAAACUUGCCUUGCCUCACUUGAAAUGCAGCGGCAAGGGAAGGGCUUGGUUGUUCAUGGGGAACUGGGAAUGUUAAUGGUUUUCCAUUCUGCUUGGGAGAGACAGUAGAAAGGGAAAAAAAAAAGCCAGCAGGAGGGAGAAAAAGAAAUCCAGUGUAAUUACAAGGUGACAAGCAGAGCAGUUGAAAAACAAACAUAAACACAGUACUAGAAGACAGAGACCAAAGAGAAGAAAAAGAUCUAAUAAUAAUCUAAAUAUAGUGCUAUAUUUUGUCCUGGAUAGGGUUGCAUGGAAGGGUGCUUCAUCCCGAUUCAUAGGCUUCCUUUCAGCAAUUAAAACAGAU